rnacentral:misc_RNA from 1 species
CAGAUCGUAGGCUGCAACUCGCCUACGUGAAGUAGGAAUCGCUAGUAAUCGCAGGUCAGCAUACUGCGGUGAAUACGUUCCCGGGCCUUGUACACACCGCCCGUCACACCAUGGAAGUUGGCCAUGCCCGAAGUCGUUACUCCAACCCUUGUGGAGGAGGACGCCGAAGGUGGGGCUAAUGACUGGGGUGAAGUCGUAACAAGGUAGCCGUACCGGAAGGUGCGGCUGGAUCACCUCCUAACAGGGAGACAACAAAAUGUUUAAUAUUAUUUUGUCACCUUAGGUCGAUCGGUAUCUCACUUUCUCGAUUUAUUGAGAAUUUCAUUUCCUAAGUUUUUCUAGGUCACACCCAUUAUUUUUCCUGGGCCAUUAGCUCAGGUGGUUAGAGCGCACCCCUGAUAAGGGUGAGGUCCCUGGUUCAAGUCCAGGAUGGCCCAUAUCUCUAUGUUGGGGGUAUAGCUCAGUUGGUAGAGCGCCUGCUUUGCAAGCAGGAUGUCAGCGGUUCGAGUCCGCUUACCUCCACUGAUUACCACCUCUUCCAUAUCCCGAGAAAGGAAUUUUUUUGAGUUGUGAUCAAAUUCUGAACGAAUCCAGCUUCCUAAUGAGAGCAUUAAGAUGCUGGACUCAUUGAAUUAAUUUCAUUGUUUUCAGAGAACCUUGACAACUGCAUAGAUUAUUUUUAAAGACAAUAAGCAUCUUUAAUGAUGCAGAUUUAUUAUUUGUGCGAAUGCAUUAAUAACAAUUCUAUUAAGCUGAUGCUUCAAUUUUGAAGUUAUUGGUCAAGCUACAAAGGGCUCACGGAGGAUACCUUGGCACACAGAGGCGAUGAAGGACGUGGUUACCUGCGAUAAGUCUCGGGGA